rnacentral:lncRNA from 1 species
UUACGUUAUUUUAGUCGUAGGCAAAUUAAAAGAGGAGGAGUAACGAUGGAAGAAAUGCAUGCAUAGAGAUAGGUUCAUAAUUCUUCAUGUUUGAUUUUUUUUGUUCUUUUAUUUCUAAAUGUAAAAUAAAGUAUAUAUAACCAAGUGCUAAUAGUUCGAUUGGUAAAAAUCUAUAGCAAAAGCUUAGAGGUUGCCGGUUCGAGUAGCUCUUGGGACGAGACCAUAUAACAUGCUUUGGUCUCGGGCUUAAGGGGAUGUAUGGGUUUCGGCCCUGAACCUCUUUGAUUAUUCAAAAAAUAAAAAAUAAAUAAAGUAUGUAAUAAGACCAUAUUUGAAACCAACAAAAUAUAAUGAUUUAAUUUAAAUCAUAAAAAUAUUUUAA